rnacentral:rRNA from 1 species
AUUGAACGCUGGCGGAAUGCUUUACACAUGCAAGUCGAACGGUAGAGGGGGCAACCCCUCGAGAGUGGCGAACGGGUGAGUAAUAUAUCGGAACGUGCCCAGUCGUGGGGGAUAACGUAGCGAAAGUUACGCUAAUACCGCAUACGAUCUAAGGAUGAAAGCGGGGGAUCGCAAGACCUCGCGCGAUUGGAGCGGCCGAUAUCAGAUUAGGUAGUGGGUGGGGUAAAGGCUCACCAAGCCAAGGAUCUUUAGCUGGUCUGAGAGGACGACCAGCCACACUGGAACUGAGACACGGUCCAGACUCCUACGGGAGGCAGCAGUGGGGAAUUUUGGACAAUGGACGCAAGUCUGAUCCAGCCAUUCCGCGUGCAGGAUGAAGGCCCUCGGGUUGUAAACUGCUUUUGUACGGAACGAAAAGGUCUCUCUUAAUACGGGGGGCUCAUGACGGUACCGUAAGAAUAAGUACCGGCUAACUACGUGCCAGCAGCCGCAGUAA